AUUAUUUAAGUAACGAAUAUUUAUUUUUAUACGUUUUAAAUAUUUCAACGAUUUAUGAAAUUAAAAUAAGUUUAGAAUUUUAUGUUGAAAAGAAAUUGAAUUACGAAAACCGUUUGAAUUUUGAAAACAAUCCUAAUUGGUUUUGGAUUCAAACACUUAAACUCAACCUUAGUUCUAGCCCAAGUUGAUAAAGCCCAAAUAAUAAGACCCAAAACACUUUACUCCUUUCCUCUCUUUCAAUGUUACGUAAAAGCAAAAACAACAAAAACUUCUCUGCUUCACUUUCACGUGAACCAUAACCCUUAACCUCUUCCCCCUUUGCUCAGCCGCCAGCCGGCAGCCACGCUGGACCACCGUCACUACACCGACCUCCUGCCACCAUCCCCUCCGCCGUCGCGCACGCAACCACCACCUGUACCACCACCUGCUCCCGCCGACUUCCCAUCGCCACAACCCAGCCGUCGACCAACCUCCUCCCUUCUCCUUUACAUACACAAGAAAUCUCCCCUCCUAUUUUCUUUGUUGCUCCGCACGCAGCUACCAGUCGUGCUGCACCACCCGUCGCGCCACCAAGAGUGUUGAACCACCGACGUACCCACCGUCUGCUGCCGCCACUGUCGCCGGCCAGCAGCUUCCUUCUUCCUCACUUUUGGUGGAGAAUUCUCUUUAGGCAACUUUUGAAAGUGUUAAGGUGACGUAUCAGUUUGUUUACACAAGGUACGUACAUACCUGUGUGCU